ACAUUGACACCAACCACAAGCUCAUCAGGUACAACUUUGUUAUCUUUGGGGGAAUAGAUGGCUAUUCAAGGAAGAUUAUGUACUUGAAGAUAGCAGACAACAACCGGGCUGACACCCACUUGUGUUUCUUCAAUGAAGCUGUG